rnacentral:rRNA from 1 species
GAACUAGUUCUAGCUCGAACCCGCAAAAUUCAACUAACACCCACAGUUAAAACAAAACAUUUACACAAAUAAAAGUAUAGGAGAUAGAAAUUAUAUUCGACGCUAUAGAAAAAGUACCGCAAGGGAACCACAACUCAAAAGUAGAAAAAAGCAAAGCUUACCCCUUUUACCUUUUGCAUAAUGAUUUAACUAGAAAAAAUUUAGCAAAGAGAACUGAAGUUAAAUACCCCGAAACCAGACGAGCUAUCUAAAGACAGCCCAAUGGGGCAAACUCAUCUAUGUGGCAAAAUAGUGAGAAGAUCUUUAGAUAGAGGCGACAAACCAACCGAGCCUGGUGAUAGCUGGUUGUCCAGUUAACGAAUUUUAGUUCAAGUAUAAAUCUACUAAAAAUAUCCAAUAAAUUUAAUGUAGAUUUAUAUUAUAGCCCAAGGGGGUACAGCCCAUUGGGCCUAGGAUACAACCUUUAUUAGAGAGUAAUUAUUUAGUGUACCAUAGUUGGCCUAAAAGCAGCCAUCCAUUAAGAAAGCGUUCAAGCUCAACAACUCCCUCAUCUUAAUAACAAACAUAUCUAACAACUCCUAAUACGAAACUGGACUAUUCUAUUAUUAAAUAGAAGCAAUACUGUUAAUAUGAGUAACAAGAAUAUUUUCUCCCAGCACAAGUGUAUAUCAGAACGAAUGCUUCACUGAUAGUUAACAAACCAUUAAGCUCAUGCUAAAAAUAAAACCCUUAUAUAAAAAUCUGUUAACCCAACACAGGCGUGCACCCAAGGGAAAGAUUAAAAGAAGUAAAAGGAACUCGGCAAACAUGAACCCCGCCUGUUUACCAAAAACAUCACCUCUAGCCUUACCAGUAUUAGAGGCACUGCCUGCCCAGUGACAUAAGUUUAACGGCCGCGGUAUCCUGACCGUGCAAAGGUAGCAUAAUCACUUGUUCCCUAAAUAGGGACUCGUAUGAAUGGCCACACGAGGGUUCAACUGUCUCUUACUUCUAAUCAGUGAAAUUGACCUCCCCGUGAAGAGGCAGGGAUAAUAUAAUAAGACGAGAAGACCCUAUGGAGCUUUAAUUAACUAACCUAAAGAAAAUAAAUACCAAUCGACACGAUUUAACAUAACUCUGCCUAGGUUAGCAAUUUGGGUUGGGGUGACCUCGGAAUAAAACAUAACUUCCGAGUGAUUAAUAUUUAGACCUACAAGUCAAAAUAACAUCAUCAUUUAUUGAUCCAAAAAAAUUGAUCAACGGACCAAGUUACCCUAGGGAUAACAGCGCAAUCCUAUUCAAGAGUCCAUAUCGACAAUAGGGUUUACGACCUCGAUGUUGGAUCAGGACAUCCUAGUGGUGCAGCCGCUACUAAGGGUUCGUUUGUUCAACGAUUAAUAGUCCUACGUGAUCUGAGUUCAGACCGGAGUAAUCCAGGUCGGUUUCUAUCUAUUCUAGGCCUCCCCCAGUACGAAAGGACAAGAGAGGCAGGGCCCACUUCAUUUACGCGCCCUCAAGCUAACAGAUACUGUAAUAUUAAUCUGGCAACGCAUAUAGUCAAUAACCCAAGACCAGGGUUC